rnacentral:rRNA from 1 species
UACGAGGGGGGCGAGCGUUGUUCGGAAUUAUUGGGCGUAAAGGGUGCGUAGGCGGUUUGGUAAGUCUUGUGUGAAAUCUUCGGGCUCAACUCGAAGUCUGCACGAGAAACUGCCGGGCUUGAGUAUGGGAGAGGUGAGUGGAAUUCCCGGUGUAGCGGUGAAAUGCGUAGAUAUUGGGAGGAACACCGGUGGCGAAGGCGGCUCACUGGCCCGGUACUGACGCUGAGGCGCGAAAGCGUGGGGAGCAAACAGG